rnacentral:rRNA from 1 species
GCCUGAUGCAGCCAUGCCGCGUGUGUGAAGAAGGCCUUCGGGUUGUAAAGCACUUUCAGCGGGGAGGAAGGCGAUACGGUUAAUAACCGUGUUGAUUGACGUUACCCGCAGAAGAAGCACCGGCUAACUCCGUGCCAGCAGCCGCGGUAAUCA